rnacentral:rRNA from 1 species
AGUGAACGCUGGCGGUAGGCCUAACACAUGCAAGUCGAACGGCAGCACAGUAAGAGCUUGCUCUUACGGGUGGCGAGUGGCGGACGGGUAAGGAAUACAUCGGAAUCUACUUUUUCGUGGGGGAUAACGUAGGGAAACUUACGCUAAUACCGCAUACGACCUACGGGUGAAAGCAGGGGAUCUUCGGACCUUGCGCGAUUGAAUGAGCCGAUGUCGGAUUAGCUGGUUGGCGGGGUAAAGGCCCACCAAGGCGACGAUCCGUAGCUGGUCUGAGAGGAUGAUCAGCCACACUGGAACUGAGACACGGUCCAGACUCCUACGGGAGGCAGCAGUGGGGAAUAUUGGACAAUGGGCGCAAGCCUGAUCCAGCCAUACCGCGUGGGUGAAGAAGGCCUUCGGGUUGUAAAGCCCUUUUGUUGGGAAAGAAAAGCAGCAGGUUAAUACCCCGCUGUUCUGACGGUACCCAAAGAAUAAGCACCGGCUAACUUCGUG